ACACAAGGCUAGUUAGUGACACAGAAAGCUUGCACCGUAUCAGAAAAAGACUUGUUUCUCUGAGUAAAAAAGAAUAUCUAACUUUUCUUCUGAGCACAUAGUAAAAAGUACAGCUGCUCUCAGGAAAAAGGCAUCAUGGAUAGCUCCACAUCAGUGUCGAUUGGGAUAGCCGUGGCGUUUGGGAUCUUGGGAUUUUUCGUGCUGAUCUGUUUGGUGCAGAUCUGCAUCAAUAAAAUCAAAUGUUGCAAGUGCAAAAAGCCUUCAGUGAAAGACAAAAUUGUAAAGAAAAUUGGGAUUAAGAAAUCUUCACCUCCAUUUUCAAUCAGCAGCAUCGUUGACAAGAAAUAACGGCCAUCACUGCAUAUAUGUGACAUUCUCUCAGUGUCUAUAAAUAGUGUACAUACCCACCUUUUUUUAUUUUACAACACUUGUAACUAAUUAUUUCCACAUUGUUAUGAAAUCUGUCGAUUUAUUGUUAUUAUUUUAUUUAAUUUUUUCUGUGAAAAGUGUGAAUCACGUUUCUGAGGUAAAGGUGUUAGUGAUGUUGAUGAUUCAUAACUGGUUAAGAUCAUUUUCCCACAGCGAGGGAAAAACAGCAGACCUUUAUUGCUUUUUGCGAUCGCUUCUCUUGCUGUUUUUCUCAUUCUCUUACGCUCUCUGAAUUAUGUCACCGUUUCAGUGUCACCACAAAAACACAGCAAAGCCUUCUUCUCAAGCCAAACUGUUUCCAAGUAAAAAUGACCUCAAAGGUCACCAUAUACACUGAUGAAAUAUUAGUCUCUUCAGUCGCAGUAGAAAGAUCACAACUUCAUUGUCUUCAAGUCCUCUCGGGUGAUAUAUUUCCUGUUAAGCAAUAUUGUGUAUGUGAUUAAAUAUGGAUCUUGACUCACAUAUCAUGAUAUCUGACUGUAAUUUCAAAGGAAAAUGUGACCAUAAUUGGUCGUAUUUGGUCAGAUUUUUUAGUCUAGUAUAUUAUCCUCUAUAUAUGUGUGUGUGUGUGUCUUCAAGCAUUAUCCUUUAUUAGUUUUUUAAUGUUAUUUUUCAAUUAAACUUUCCACUCAAAUUUGUUUUGUUCAUAUUAUAAAUAAAAAAUAAAAUUAAAAAAAAUUAUAAAAA